rnacentral:rRNA from 1 species
GAUGAACGCUGGCGGUCUGCUUAACACAUGCAAGUCGAACGGAAUCCUUCGGGAUUUAGUGGCGGACGGGUGAGUAACGCGUGAGAAUCUGCCUUCAGGUUCGGGACAACAGCUGGAAACGGCUGCUAAUACCGGAUGUGCCGAGAGGUGAAAGCUUUAGUGCCUGAAGAUGAGCUCGCGUCUGAUUAGCUAGUAGGAGUGGUAAUGGCACCCCUAGGCGACGAUCAGUAGCUGGUCUUAGAGGAUGAUCAGCCACACUGGGACUGAGACACGGCCCAGGCUCCUACGGGAGGCAGCAGUGGGGGAUGUUCCGCAAUGGGCGCAAGCCUGACGGAGCAAGACCGCGUGAGGGAAGCAGGUCUGUGGAUUGUAAACCUCUUUUGAUGGGGAAGAAGACAGUGACGGUAGCCAUCGAGUCAGCCUCGGCUAACUCCGUGCCAGCCGCCGCAGUAA